rnacentral:sRNA from 17 species
GUCGAUCGGUCGCCGCGCCCAUCCGUCCCUCAAAGCGGCGAUCGGUUCUCAGGCAAGUCCUGCGGAGACGCGCCGCCUCCCCCAGGCGGCGCGUC